rnacentral:rRNA from 1 species
GUACGUAGGUGGCAAGCGUUGUCCGGAUUUAUUGGGCGUAAAGGGCGCGCAGGCGGUCUCUUAAGUCUGAUGUGAAAUCUUGCGGCUCAACCGCAAGCGGUCAUUGGAAACUGGGAGACUUGAGUGCAGAAGAGGAGAGUGGAAUUCCACGUGUAGCGGUGAAAUGCGUAGAGAUGUGGAGGAACACCAGUGGCGAAGGCGACUCUCUGGUCUGUAACUGACGCUGAGGCGCGAAGGCGUGGGGAGCAAACAGGAUUAGGUACCCUGGUAGUCCACGCCGUAAACGAUGAGUGCUAGGUGUUAGGGGUUUCGAUGCCCUUAGUGCCGAAGUAAACACAUUAAGCACUCCGCCUGGGGAGUACGGCCGCAAGGCUGAA